rnacentral:lncRNA from 1 species
UUCUUGCAAAAUGAGAAAGAGAAGAAGGCUCUAGCUGAAGGCUCUAUCUUGGUUCAAUACUUUGUGCGGCGCUAUCUUUCACUUGGAUAUAAUGGAAACUACUAAAGGAAAGCUCGCAAUCGAUUAUGAGCCACGAACAUUGAAAUCGGAUCAGAUGCGCCUGGCGAGGGUACAAACUUCUUUGUUUAGCUGUCAUAUACAUUUAUUUCAUAACCCUUUUAGUUUUUGCUAUUUUGGUAUGGAUGUAUAAUUUAUUUGAAUGGCAUCAAACAUAUUUCAAGGUAAUUUACAUGUAGAAAAGAGAAGAAGUUCUUUUUUUUUUUCCUAAGCGAAAAGAAUUUGAAUAUAUUUUAUGGAUAAUAGUGUUGAUCAUGAUAAUUUAGUGAUUGAUUUAUGAAAGAUACAUUUUUAAACCAUCGAGAUAAUUUUUUAUCUAAUUGUUGAUGAGUGCCUGUACACUUGUUAAAGAAGUUGAAUGAGGUUACUUUAUUUGAUCUUCUAAAAAGAUAAAUAAUAAAAAUAUUCAACAUUCAUUUCCAUUUGCAUCUCAAAUGGGGAUUUUGAUAAAUUGGCAUGCAUGUGUAUAUACAUGCACAUAUUGCUAAGGUAUUGAGUGCCUAAUUUCAUAAAUUCGUUAACACAUUCUGACAUCUUGAGCGCCUAAGUUCAUGAAUUCAUCAUAUUUUUCAUAACAAUUCAUUAAAUCAAAUUUUUGAUAUAAUGUCUUGAGCCCUUAAAGUUGUUCUGAAGACUUAUAUAUACAACCUUAUCAUUUAAUUUUUCCUUUGCAAGAAAAUUGACUGACUUAUUUGGAUGUUUAUAUAUGGAUAUUCAAUCGAAAAAAAAAAAAAAUCUAGUUGAAUGUUGCCAGCACAUUUUGAUUAGGAAUAUUGAGAAUAUUUAUUAAAAAAAAUUAUUUAAUGUGUGCACUUAGAAUUUUUUUGUAAAAAUGACUCGUAUUUUAUUUUGUCGGUUAUUGUACUAAUUCCGACAUACAUGGAAUAAAUUUUUUUCGAUAAAUAUCUAUUGGCUUUCUUGGAUUCGCUGCUAGACAAUUAACCUUUUAUUAUAUCCAACACUAAAGUAAUUGCUUCCGACAAAUUGCCAUUAAUAGGACUCUGUUAAGUGAUAAAUAUCAUUUCCUUCUUGAUCAUUAAAGUAUUGGGUAACUUUAGAGAAAAAAUGGCCGACCUAAUGUCUAGUUGUUAUUUAUAGAUAUCAAAAAGAUGUAAGAAGGAUAAUCUUUCACAUAACUAACUUUUUCUCAAAUAAAGAACCAACUAUUUUCUAAAGGUAAUAUCAGAUUCUUAUAUAUAAUAUUAAGCUAGUAAUUUUCACUCAAAAGUAAUUCCUUUCAAUAAAAUUUUAUAAAUUAAUAACUUUUACUACUGAAAACCCUACACGAUUAGUGUAGCUAACCUUUUAAUAAAGAAAAAAUGUUAUAAAAAGAGAUAAAAAUUAUGUUACUUGGACCAAGAUUUUGGAAGUACAAAACAUAAACAUCUUCUCAUAGAUAUACAUUUAGCCAUCAAAAUAGGCUUUUCAGACUCUUAAAGAGUAUAGGUGCUAAUGCAUGUCUUCCAUGGAAUAUGUCACUUUUGCAUAGAUUAGAGAAAUAGAACAUUGGAUCAAAAAAAAUAUUUUGUACUUAUCUCAAUUUUAUCCAAAGGUAAUAUCAUCAUUUUUCAUUUAUGCUAAAAGGACAAAUAUCAUUUUAUUAUUUUAUUUUGUUCUUAUUUUUCUUCCAUUAAUUAAUUUUUUAAAUUGAUAUCUUGACAUCUUUAUUUAAUCCAGGAAGCAGCAUUGCGUUUAUUAAGCUCCAAGGGCUCUGUGGAAGCUGAAAAAAUUUUCAUUGAGGUGAUAUAUGAUCUAAUAUCACUCUUUGAAAUUAUUUAUACAUCACAUGAGUUAAAGAAUAAUUAUGUAAAUGUCCCAAAAUUUCUAAGUACAAAGUAAGGUAAUAUAUACAUAGUAGGUUCUUAAUUAUCUGAAUAUCAAUGACAUAGGAUAUAUCUUGCAGUUUGAGAUGUUCAUAUAAGUAAUACAAGAAGUACAUAGAAUUUGACAUUAAUUAAAAUUUGAUUGUUUGGAUUUUUAUUUUAAUUACUAGAGUCUAAUAAGAAAUAAAAUGAAUAGUCAACAACUGUUUAUAUAAUUAAACUAUCUAUGAGUAAAAGAGAUGGAAAGAGUACACAUAUUUUUCACAAUAUGACAGAUCAUGAUUUUGUGGUGCUUUAUAGGAUGUGAAGUUGGAGAUGAAAGAAAUGAAGACAAAAAAGGUCCACGGAGUGGUCAUUAAUAAACCACAUCUUAAAGAAGAGGAUGGCACUUCAUCAACCAGUUCAUUACUUCUCUAAUUAUUGAUGGAUACAUUGCUUGGGCUUCAUUUUAAAUGCACUUAUAUAGUAUGUAAUUGUUUGCUUGUUUAAACUUAUGGACUAUGUAUGUCUCUAUCAUUUUUCUAUUCUUUAGUCUUUAAAUAAGUUUUGUAUUAAAAUAAGGAUGACAUAAGUGUAAACUUUUCAUUAUUUGUUUUAGUUCAGCUAGAUAAACAAAUUGGACGUAGUUGGG